rnacentral:misc_RNA from 1 species
GAACGCACAUUGCGCCCGGCAGUAAUCUGCCGGGCAUGCCUGUCCGAGCGUCAUUUCAACCCUCGAACCCCGGUUUUCUUUAUGGAUCCCGGGGAUCGGUGUUGGGGCACUACGGAGGUCUUCUGACCACCGUAGGCUUCGAAAUACAGUGGCGGUCCCGUCGCGGCGCCCUCUGCGUAGUAAUUUUCACCUCGCAUUGGGUCCCGGCGAAGGCCAGCCGUCAAACCCUCUAUUUUCUAUGGUUUGACCUCGGAUCAGGUAGGGUUACCCGCUGAACUUAAGC